CUAUUCUUUUCUCCUCUUUAUCAAAGUGAUGAUGUAAACAUUAUCAGACUCACUAAUUAGAUAGUUGGCCAAACCUGUAAAUAAAGCUAAAGUCACAGCCCUCUGAUCUUCAAAGAGAAACAGUCUAGAUGAAGAGAAAGGUGUUCUGUUGAUAAAACACUGCCAUGUAAUUGGAGGCAAAAUUAGAUCACAAUGGAGGCUCCUAACAGGCAUGAAGAUUAAUCUUGUGUCUGUGACCCACUUGAGUUCUUCUUAAUACCAACCUAUAUUAAGAAAGUCUUAACAUCAAGUGACUUCUUUGGGGCCACUUGGCUGGUGAAGUACAGAAUUUGAAGUUGGAUCAAUUAGAUCUGCUAAUUCUCCUUCUCUAAGUGGUGCAUAGAACAAAUAUUUUAAAAAAUAGAUUCUAUUUGUCGCCGUGUAUGAAUAGAAGAAAAGAUGAUUCUAUUGUUGCUUUUGUAUAUCGAAGGAGGAACUUUCUAAACUGUAAGCCUAACGAUGUCUCACACAGCAGUCUUUAUUGACUACAAAUCUAU
rnacentral:lncRNA from 1 species